rnacentral:rRNA from 1 species
UUGGCGGCGUGGAUUAGGCAUGCAAGUCGAACGAAUCCCGACGCUGUAGCAAUACAGUGAAGGGGGAAGUGGCGAAAGGGGCAGUAAGGCGUGGGUAACCUACCUCCGGGACGUGGAUAGCCAUUCUAACGAGUGGGUAAUACGCGGCGAUUUGAUUGAGGGGCAUCCCUUGGUCAGGAAAUGAAUUUCGCCUGGAGAGGGGCUCACGUGAUAUUAGCUAGUUGGUAGGGUAACGGCCUACCAAGGCAAAGAUGUCUAGCGGGUGUGUGAGCACGACCCGCGCCACUGGCACUGAGACACUGGCCAGACACCUACGGGUGGCUGCAGUCGAGGAUCUUUGGCAAUGAGCGCAAGCUUGACCAAGCGACGCCGCGUGUGCGAUGAAGGCCUUCGGGUUGUAAGGCACUGUCGAGGGGGACGAAGCCGCAAGGUUGACCGAUCCCUGGAGGAAGCACGGGCUAAGUUCGUGCCAGCAGCCGCGGUAAGACGAACCGUGCGAACGUUGUUCGGAAUCACUGGGCUUAAAGGGCGCGUAGGCGGCUUGCCAAGUCAGUGGUGAAAUCCCGCAGCUUAACUGCGGAAGUGCCUUUGAUACUGGCGAGCU